UGCGAUGCUCUAACCUCUGAGCUAAGCCGGC
rnacentral:tRNA from 1 species